AUUGAACGCUGGCGGUAUGCUUAACACAUGCAAGUCGAACGAGCGGCGGACGGGUGAGUAAUGCAUAAGAAUCUACCUUUUAGUCUAGGAUAACUACCCCAAAGGGUGGCUAAUAAUGGAUGCUAAGAAAUGAGCCUAUGUGGGAUUAGCUAGUUGGUGGGGUGAUGGCUCACCAAGGCGACGAUUUCUAGCUGGUUUGAGAGGAUGAUCAGCCACACUGGUACGGAGACACGGCCCAGACUCCUACGGGACGCAGCAGUGGGGAAUGUUGGACAAUGGGCGAAAGCCUGAUCCAGCAAUGCCGCGUGGGUGAAGAAGGCCCUAGGGUUGUAAAGUACUUUUAGUCGGGAGGCGUUACCGACAGAAGAAGCACCGGCUAACUCCGUGCCAGCAGCCGCGGUAAUUC
rnacentral:rRNA from 1 species